rnacentral:lncRNA from 1 species
GAGUAGGAGGAGGAGGAUCUUCGUUGAUUUGAUAUUUGAGCAAUGUUAUUUGUAUAAUUUAAUUUUAAUGAAUAUAUAAUAUUAGUUUUUAUUUAUGAUGGUGAUAGUUAAUUGUUAGUGGUUAUAAUGUUCGUAAAUAUAUGUUGCUUAUUAAUUUAAUUAUAAUAAAUUUUAGUAAAUAUAAUUAUUUGUUAAUUAAAUUAUAACAGGUCUUAAUAAGUAU